rnacentral:sRNA from 4 species
GGUUCGAAUCCUGCACGACCCACCAAUAUACAAGGUGGUAACUGGUAGAGAACGUGAAGGAUAACGUUGCUUUAGCAACGGCCCGAAGGGCGAGGCGAAGCCGAGUCAUCCUGCACGACCCACCA